rnacentral:rRNA from 1 species
UACGAAGGGUGCAAGCGUUACUCGGAAUUACUGGGCGUAAAGCGUGCGUAGGUGGUUCGUUAAGUCUGAUGUGAAAGCCCUGGGCUCAACCUGGGAAUGGCAUUGGAUACUGGCGAUCUAGAGUGCGGUAGAGGGCAGUGGAAUUCCCGGUGUAGCAGUGAAAUGCGUAGAGAUCGGGAGGAACAUCUGUGGCGAAGGCGACUGCCUGGACCAGCACUGACACUGAGGCACGAAAGCGUGGGGAGCAAACAGG